AGAUCACCGAGUCAGCCUCUGUGGGUGUGAGCCUGAGCCAUCAGCAGGACGACCUUCCUAUGGAUCCAGAGACCCUCAAGGCCUGAUGGAGGAGGAGGUUGCAGAGAGCCUGAGGGAAGAAACCAUCUGGACUGACCACGCUAUCAAAGAGCUUCGGAAGUGCUGAUCCACACCCGGUCCAGAUUCACACACGGUUCCCGGAUGUCUCUCUGGGACUCUCAAAAAGUGCUCUCCCACUGCGCUCGAUUCUACCUUUAGCUCGAACCCAACUCUCUGAUGUGUUAGGAUCAAGCAUAUCUUCUUUUAAAAAAUAAAUCCUUUCUUUGGGU
rnacentral:lncRNA from 1 species